AGCGCUAGAAACCUUUAUUUUGAAAAAUAUCCUCCCGGUUGUGGUCUGUUGUUGCUGUGUUCCCACAGCGUGUUGUGUUUGGGGGAAGCUCUGAAGCGGAGACUCAGUCUGAGGUUAAAGAGCUGUAAGUGCUGCUUUAAAGUCUUCAUGAACUGCCAGCAAAAGUCAACAGAGGCAAAAAAAAGGGAAACACUUCUGAUGUCAGAGGGUGGGGCUACAGGGUAUACAGCUUCACCACUACUUGUAAUGUGUCCUAUGAUAUCUACACCAUCAUGUGACUGUAAAUAAAUAUAAGAUAAACAAAAAAUAUUUGAAGUGGUAAUGAAAUGAUGCCCUGGCGAGGGGUCUGGUGAUGUGGUGAUUGCCCUAGGGUUUAAAAACAAAACACAACGAAAAAGCUAGAUAUUAGUUAGCAAGCUGGCUAACUAACAUCUCCUAGACAUGCAAGCUAGCUAAUGCUGAUAUUGAACUUCUCAACAACUAAUAAUUUCCAAAGAUGACCAUACUGGCUAAUCAGCGAGUCGUUUUUCCUCAAAUUUAGCUUUUACUUAGAUACUUAUAACAUCCUAACAAGUUGCUAGCACUAGAAAUCACUGGUAAACAGUUGCUUUCUGGCAAACAAUGGAACUUCAAGACUGGAGCCUAAAUAAAAAAGAAGAACACAAAAGUGGCAACAGCAAACAGAAGCUACACCCACACCCUUAAGAAUCAACAUUUCAGGUCUAUUGUUCUGGCAUUAGCUUAGUAUAUUAUAAUAUUAAAUUUAUAUAUAAAAAAAAACAGUUAUCUUUUUAAAACCGUG
ensembl:lncRNA